rnacentral:rRNA from 1 species
UACGAAGGGGGCUAGCGUUGCUCGGAAUCACUGGGCGUAAAGCGCACGUAGGCGGCUUUUUAAGUCAGGGGUGAAAUCCUGGAGCUCAACUCCAGAACUGCCUUUGAUACUGAGAGCUUGAGUCCGGGAGAGGUGAGUGGAACUGCGAGUGUAGAGGUGAAAUUCGUAGAUAUUCGCAAGAACACCAGUGGCGAAGGCGGCUCACUGGCCCGGUACUGACGCUGAGGUGCGAAAGCGUGGGGAGCAAACAGGAGUUAGAAACCCGGGUAAGUCC